GACGAACGCUGGCGGCGUGCCUAAUACAUGCAAGUAGAACGCUGAAGGAGGAGCUUGCUUCUCCGGAUGAGUUGCGAACGGGUGAGUAACGCGUAGGUAACCUGCCUGGUAGCGGGGGAUAACUAUUGGAAACGAUAGCUAAUACCGCAUAAGAGUAGAUGUUGCAUGACAUUUGCUUAAAAGGUGCAAUUGCAUCACUACCAGAUGGACCUGCGUUGUAUUAGCUAGUUGGUGAGGUAACGGCUCACCAAGGCGACGAUACAUAGCCGACCUGAGAGGGUGAUCGGCCAAACUGGGACUGAGACACGGCCCAGACUCCUACGGGAGGCAGCAGUAGGGAAUCUUCGGCAAUGGACGGAAGUCUGACCGAGCAACGCCGCGUGAGUGAAGAAGGUUUUCGGAUCGUAAAGCUCUGUUGUAAGAGAAGAACGAGUGUGAGAGUGGAAAGUUCACACUGUGACGGUAUCUUACCAGAAAGGGACGGCUAACUACGUG
rnacentral:rRNA from 1 species